rnacentral:misc_RNA from 1 species
GGUUUCUUGACGAUCUCUUGGGUGAGCGCUAUGUGACUCGGCCUUCUCUCUCGCUUUUCUUCACAUCACUCUUAGGAAAGGCUGCUAGCUAUUUUCCUCCAGAUGACAUGAGGACCCUAUCAUCCCUGGAUCACUUCUUAGUGUCUGUGGGAGCAGUGAAAAAAACUGUCUCGGGUCGCAAAAGAUGACAUGAUUACCAAUGUAUACUUAUUACUAGUACUGGAAAUUAAAUGAUUUAGCAAAGGAUUUUACACUCACAGAAAUUGUAAAC